AGUAGGAGGACUAACACUAGGCGGAAAAUUUCGGUCUGCCCCUGGUACUGGAAAUAGUGCUGGUGACAGCAUUACAGUUCUAUAGUCAACUACGCAAAGAUCGGCCUUCAAUGACGAACUAGUGGGCGAAUCAAAUGAUUUGACCGAAGUAGGAGGACUAACACUAGGCGGAAAAUUUCGGUCUGCCCCUGGUACUGGAAAUAGUGCUGGUUACAGCAUUACAGUUCUAUAGUCAACUACGCAAAGAUCGGCCUUCAAUGACGAACUAGUGGGCG